GGGCUGGUAGUUCAUCGGCAGAACGUACCGUUCGCAACGGUAAGGCACCGGGUUCAAUUCCCGGCCAGUCCA
rnacentral:tRNA from 1 species